AUCCUUCCGGUAACUCGGUAGUUAAAUAAUAUUAUAGUAAGUCCAUGAUUUUCUGAAGACUACACUACAAUAAGUUCAUAGUUUUCUGGAGAGAUAAUAUUAUUAUCCUUAACAUUAAUAUAUUAUGAUUUUAGAAUACCUGAAAACAUUAUCUCUUAUCGCGUACGUGGAAGUAAGCAUUCAAGACCAUAUCAAUUCGCCAGCUACCUGUAGGUUGCUUGCUUGACCCAACUUAAUGGAUGCGUCCACGAAGAAGCUGUGCAUGCAAGUCGUGUGGCACGUGUACCUUGCUACUAGAACGUACCAUGGAUGGAAAAUGAAGCUGCUACCUACUCGUAAUCUCUCUACUAUAUACUCCCUCCAUCCCGAAUUACUUGUCGCAGGUAUGGAUGUAUCUAGAUGUAUUUUAAUUCUAGAUAUAUCCACAAUUUGCUAGCCCGUCAAUCAUCGAAUAUCAUCGGCCGUACGUCCAUCAGCUCGGAGAAGACCGUCCAUCAAUCGUUAUCAACCAGUGCUACGAAGAUGAGUUCCUCCGACGACCUCGCCGGUGGAAAGAAAACUUCGUGGCCGGAGGUGGUCGGGCUGACCAUCAAGGAGGCCAAGGAGAUCAUCCUGAAGGACAAGCCCGACGACGACAUUGUCAUGGUGCCGGUCGGCUCCGCCGUGACCGAGGACUUGAGGCCCAACCGUGUCCGCAUCUCCGUGGGCACCGUCGCCGAGAUCCCCCACGUUGGAUAGGUGGAUAGCUCUUGCUGGCUUGCUGUGGCCUGCAUACAUACAUGCUGGCUCACGAAUAAAUGAAUAUGGAGAAAUAAAGAAGUAUGCAAGUCGAUCAUGUGUGCUUAAUCGGUCCUUAAAAUGUGCUUAAUCGGUGUUGUGGCAAUUUUUAUUUUAUUUUAACUCGUUUUGCCAAUUUAUAUCGAACUAUGUAUUUGAUGGCUACUUCGUAUAAUAAUAUGGAUGCAUGCACCAUUUUAAUGUA